GUGGAGACACAGCCAAACCAUAUCCCUUUUAUAUGAAAAUCCAGGUGGGCAGAUUUUUCUCUCAGCAGCUGUUCCCUGCAGAGUCUCCUUGCAGAGCCUUUCCUUGGACUUUCCAAAUCCAGCCCUUGGCUAAGGACUGACAGCAUCUCUCAGGCAGACCACUGCCUGCCCCUACCCUGUGCAGCUUCCUCCCACACAGCCUCACCCACAAACCCACCUUUCUCCACAGCCACAAACUCCGAUCUCUGCCUUCUUAGAGCAGAGAGGCCAUUCCUCUCCACGUGGUCUCACCUCCCUGCACCCUAACUGAAACCUGGGAGUGAGGGGAAAGAGGAGCUCAGGUCAUGUGCCUCCCGCCUCUCAAGGAUGGCAGCCUUGCGCUGGCUGUAGCAGAAUACCGGAAAAGAUCUGCCUAAGGCCAUAUUAUUUCAUUUCCACUCCACAAAUCCAACAUAGUUAAUUGGGUUUGAUAUUAAUGAGCUUGUACAGCUAAAACAUGGAAAUAUAAUAACUACUGUUGAUCGAUCUUUCAGCCCCGUCACGAAGGGCCCUCGUAACUGGACCUCAUGCCAAACAACUCGUUACAAAAAGAGCUAGGGUCUCAGACCACGCAGAAGCUUCAUGAGACCCCUCCUUGUCUGCAUGGACAAGUGGUCGACUCUGGAUCCCAAGAUGUUGCUUCCCAGUUUGGUGGUGAAUCCUCCAUAGUCUGGUGAGUCUAACUGAAAGGCUCAACACUCCAGUGAAGAAGAAACCACAAAUGAUGAACAAAUGUUUUGUCACUCUUUCAGAUUCAGAAAUUUUGCUUGAAAAAAGUCUGAAGAAACUAAUUUAGGAAAGAAACCUCUGCCAAUAACUCUAAAGAGUUUGAAUUGGUUGCCUUUAUUCCUAACACUAUGAUGUUUUGGGAUAGGAACUAGUAGAUGGUAUUUUUUCUUUCCCAUUGGCAGUAUAUCAUUUACAACAGAUGUUCCCGACUCAGGAUAAAAUGUAACUGGCAGCCAGAGUCACCCACCAGCCCCUGAGGAAAGGGCUCAACCUUGAGAACAUCUGGCUGGCUUCAAGAAGGUCACACAAAUACAAGAUGAUGCUGAGGAUAAGACAAGUGGUUUUGAGAGAGGAAAACCUUUAAAAAUAUUUGGAAGAGUCCUGAAGACCAAUAAAAUAAAGACACUGCAAUACUUCAUGGACACCAGAGAGCAAUUUAACACUGAAAUGAAAGCAACAUGUUGCACCUGAACACUGAAAAAAGCCCAUGUGUUAAGAGGAAGAAGAAAUAUGCAAUUCACUGCAAUAAAUAUUGAACCUUUAAAAAACAGAAGGAACAUGAAAACUAAAGGACACUGGGCCACAGCAAAUAAGGUGGCGGCAGCCAUCCCAUAAUGAUUACAUGAUCUCCAUGAUUGUAAAAUGUAUAUGCCACCUGAAUUUAUUCUUAGACCUUCUCUCAAAGAUGUCUGCAUUCAACACAGGCAAUAACUGCAGGUAAUAGUGAAGAAUCCUUCAGGCAUGAUAGAGGAACAGACUAAGUGUGGGAAAAGGAAGAACUAGGCCGGGCGCGGUGGCUCACGCCUGUAAUCCCAGCACUUUGGGAGGCCGAGGCGGGCGGA
rnacentral:lncRNA from 10 species